CACUAUUCACGUCGGUCAACGCGACUAUUCAUCGCGUUGACCGACGUGAAUAGUGUUAUAUUAAACGUAAUCGUCAUUUUUAAAAUGACACAAAUAAUAGAUAUUUUGCGUCAUUUGAUAUCCUUCACUAAAUAGACAACCGACGGCAAAAGAGAAAAUUUUAAAAAAUAUAUAUAAGAUUCGCGUCCUUUUAAAAGUCUCACAAACAUUAUCUCUGUCAUUUUCCAACCGACGAUAAAAAAAAGUUGCGACUGUGACCAACAGACACAAACUCUCUUAUGGCUCACUUACCCAAAAUUUCUUAGACCAAGCAAAUCAUUCGUUCAUACUCUCUGGUAGUGUGAACCCUAGGUGCGCAAUUUUAAUCAUCUCCGCCCCUCUCUUAAAAUUUUGCUCUACUGUGCCUCCAUCAGCUCUGAAGCUCUUCAACCCUCUCUCAAAUUUUUGCUCCACCAGCGUAAUAUUAGAGAAGCGAAGCGAUAGCUUUAUUAGAUAAGUUUAGGUUAGACAUUCCCUACAGUAACAAGGAGAUCAAUGCAGUACGAGAUGAGUGAGCCGCAUUUAUGAAGCCUUUGAUUAUUAAUUCAAGUCAGACGCUCCCUAUAGUAACAAGAAGAUCAAUGCAGUACGGGAGGAGUGGGCCAAAUUUGUGAAGCCUUUGAUUAUAGGUUACUACUUUUGUUAUAAUACACGAGUAACAAGUUUUAUCAUGAUUAUUGUUAUCUUUUGCAUAUGUAAUUAGUUUAUAUUUAGAUUACGAUAUACAUAGCAUUUAAGUUUUAGGAUCGAUUCUAUUAACAAUUUUGGUAUUGAGUGAUUAGUUAAUAGAAUCGAUUACUAAUUUUAUGUAAGUUUUAAAAAUAUUAUUUUAAAUUUUUUUUGUAUUAUGUAUUUACUAUUAUAUAGAGUUAUUCUAAAAUUUGAUAA